AGAAAGCUAUUUCCCAUAAUGACAUGCCCAAGUCCUAACCCCCAAAAACUGUGAAUGUGAACUGAUUUGUGAAUAGGGUCUUGGUAGAUGCAUUCACGUUAAGGAUAUCAGGACAAGAUCAUCCCAGAUUCAGGACUGAUGUACACUUCAAACUUUCAUUCUAUAUUUUCACACAAGUAGUGUUGUUUGGCUCUGAGAAUCACUUUCAUUUUUAUUUCCAGGAAAUUUCAUAUCAUUCUCUUCAAUUCAGUGAGUGCAAAAGAAGCAAGACAAGGAAUGAUAUAAAAUUACUCCUAAAAGAAAAUUCACUUUUAAUCUUGCUUAAAACAAGUUUUUGUUUGUUUGUUUGUUUUUGAAAUGGAGUCUCGCUCUGUCACCCAG